UCCAUACUGCUGGUUUUGUGUCUCCUAGC
rnacentral:piRNA from 1 species